CUCACUUCUUCAUGAGAGGUCCGAAGGAUGCUGGAUACAAUUGACAUAAGGGAGUUUUCAAAAAAUACAUGAAAUGGCAGCUAUGAAACAUAUUCACAGGUCAGAAAAGAAGUGAUUUGUUGGCUCGAGGUCAGCCAACAAUAAAAAAGUUGGAUGACCAAAACAGUUUGACAUAUAUACAACUCCAGCGUGUCAGUCCUGCAGAGGGCUUAAAGACGAUCCACGUUAGCCCCCACAUUAUACAGACAAGAAAGGCACUUGCUCCAGGUCUGGGAGCUGGUUACAGCAAAAGCCAGGACUAGAACCCUGUGUCCAGCUCUAGCUCCUGUCUCAGGGCCACAGCUGUAAGGAUACCCGCCCUCUCCGUGUGACCGUGGAGGAUGCUGGGGCUGAGAUUUCCUUCCUG
rnacentral:lncRNA from 1 species